rnacentral:rRNA from 1 species
GAUGAACGCUGGCGGCGUGCUUAACACAUGCAAGUCGAACGGGAAAUCUUGCAUUUAGCCUUCGGUGGAUUUGAGUUAUUUCUAGUGGCGGACGGUUGAUUAACUCGUUGGUAGCCUGCCUUAUACAGGGGGAUAACAGUCAGAAAUGGCUGCUAAUACCGCAUAAGCGCACUGAGCUGCAUGGCUCAGUGUGAAAAACUCCUGUGGUAUAAGAUGGACCCGCGUUGGAUUAGCUAGUUGGUGGGGUAACGGCCCACCAAGGCGACGAUCCAUAGCCGGCAUGAGAGGGUGAACGGCCACACUGGGACUGAGACACGGUCCAGACUCCUACGGGAGGCAGGAGUGGGGAAUAUUGCACCAUGGGGGAAACCCUGAUGCAGCGACGCCGCGUGAAGGAAGAAGUAUCUCGGUAUGUAAACUUCUAGCAGCAGGGAAGAUAGUGACGGUACCUGACUAAGAAGCCCCGGCUAACUACGUG